UUCAAGAUGACUGAAAGAUAUGCGAAAAAGUAAUUAAAAAAAAUUAUAAUUGCAGUGUAUUUCAAGAUACGAUCCUUUAUGAAAUCUUAAGUUCAAUGAAAUUAUGACAAUGGCUCAUGUCAGCUCGCAACAUUGUUUUCAGACGUUAAAUCUAAAUUUUAUUUGGAAAAGAAGUAGAAUGCAACAUUCAAAAAGUGACUUUUAGAUCAAGUCUGUAUAUCUGCCGAAAACCCAAUUGCAAAGUUAAAGCGAUGCUAUAGCCGAGCCCGUAUUUCAAUCUCUCUGAAUAUAUAUCUGUAAAAGAUCGAUCUACAAAUUUGUGAUAUUUUCUGUAUUUCUUUUUGUUAAGGCUUUACCUGAAUAUU
rnacentral:lncRNA from 1 species